rnacentral:tRNA from 1 species
AUUUAUAUAGUUUAAAAAAAACUUUAUAUUUUCAAUAUAAAAAUAAAUUAUAAAAUUUUAUAAAUU